UACGUAGGGUGCAAGCGUUAAUCGGAAUUACUGGGCGUAAAGCGUGCGCAGGCGGCCUUGCAAGACAGAUGUGAAAUCCCCGGGCUUAACCUGGGAACUGCAUUUGUGACUGCAUGGCUGGAGUGCGGCAGAGGGGGAUGGAAUUCCGCGUGUAGCAGUGAAAUGCGUAGAGAUGUGGAGGAACACCGAUGGCGAAGGCAGCCUCCUGGGCCAGCACUGACGCUCAUGCACGAAAGCGUGGGGAGCAAACAGG
rnacentral:rRNA from 1 species